GGUUGUUUGUGUUCUGUUAAACUCUUGCUAACUUGAUUAAUUGAAUUAGUAUAUAGUGUCAUUUGAAGAUUUAAAGAAGUGUGUGUGGUAUUGCGGUCUUUUGCUUCAUUGCUAGAGAGUUAGAAUGUUUUUAAAUAUUGCAACAAAACAAUAGAAAAUAUUUUCAUGAAAACAUUUUCUUAAAAAACAAUUUUCAUAUACAAGUUGUUUUCUGCGAAACAAAUGGGGUCAUAGGAAGUAGUGAGAAAUGAUUUAGCAGCUAUAUAAGUGGAAUAGGGGAAAUGGUCCAAAUGGAUCUAGGCAGCCACCCCGACUAUUUUGGAAUUAAGAUGCAGUAGAGUUGAAUAUAGUCUUUGUUGAUUUUGAAUUGAUACAUUAAAUGCAAUUUGUUCACAGAUGUAAUCAGGAAUAGUUUCAUUCUUGCUUCCUUGAACUCAUAAUUACUUUUGUGUCAGUAACCUCAUCUGAAACUAAGACAAAGAGUUUCUCCUUUACAAUUUUCUCCUUCUAAGUUGAUAGUCUCAACUUUGGCCCUUUUUGUUUAGGGUUCCUUAUAUAAUGGCAUUUAUUUGUAACUCAAACCAUGAGGCGUUGCCAUUUUUUCUUGCUGUUCUUAGUAGAUUGUCCGUGCAUGAGUGGACCCAUAAUUUCUAUUAUAAUAAUAUUGAGUUUCUAAUUGUAU
rnacentral:misc_RNA from 1 species